rnacentral:rRNA from 1 species
GAUGAACGCUGGCGGCGUGCCUAAUACAUGCAAGUCGAGCGAACAGACGAGGAGCUUGCUCCUCUGACGUUAGCGGCGGACGGGUGAGUAACACGUGGAUAACCUACCUAUAAGACUGGGAUAACUUCGGGAAACCGGAGCUAAUACCGGAUAAUAUAUUGAACCGCAUGGUUCAAUAGUGAAAGACGGUUUUGCUGUCACUUAUAGAUGGAUCCGCGCCGCAUUAGCUAGUUGGUAAGGUAACGGCUUACCGAGGCAACGAUGCGUAGCCGACCUGGGAGGGUGAUCGGCCACACUGGAACUGAGACACGGUCCAGACUCCUACGGGAGGCAGCAGUAGGGAAUCUUCCGCAAUGGGCGAAAGCCUGACGGAGCAACGCCGCGUGAGUGAUGAAGGUCUUCGGAUCGUAAAACUCUGUUAUUAGGGAAGAACAAAUGUGUAAGUAACUAUGCACGUCUUGACGGUACCUAAUCAGAAAGCCACGGCUAACUACGUG